CGCGCGAGGGGCGACGGCGGAGCGCGCGGGCCUCGGCUUCCAGAGGUGGCUGCCGCGUCCCUGCCCCUGGAAAGGGACGGGCGGGGACGGCGGUCGGCGGUCGCUCCCCCCUCCUCCGCGGCCGCGUCGCUGCGAGAGUAUCUGGAGACUUCAUCUUAGCGACGCAGUGGAAACAAAGAUGACGGUGUUUUGCCCUGUGGCGUGGAGCGGCCCGCCCGCCGCUAUUGUCUGGCUGCCUGACGGGAGCAGCAGCUCUAUUUUUCUUACUCCGAACGUGGUUAUUCGGCGGCAGCAGAGGGACUUACAAGGAGGCUUUGUCUGCAGUAAAAGAGCUGUUGCGAAACUGCCCCUCCUGAAUGGCCGCCCGGCCGCCUUCGGCGGGGACCGCUGGCAAUUUUUUUUCCCAUAUCAGUUAAAGCAAGGAAAAAUCUGCAUUUUCCUCCCCACCUUUUUCAUUUCGAAUUGGAGCCCGAGUGUCGGCCGCGGGAAAGAGCUGCCACCCGCCUCAACUUACUUGAUCUUUCAUAUUUUAUUCUUUAGCGACUCUGAUUUAUUAUAUUUUUUAAUGUAAUCCAGUGCUUUGUGAAUCCUCAGACGUCCUCUGCUCUCUCAGAAAUAAGUGAAUUCGAAAGCUGCGGAGGUGGGCGAUGCUCACACGGACAGACGGAGAGUUUGUUUUGUUGAAUCCACCCGAGUGCCUCCGACCAGAAAGAGCCCAGGUGAAAAUGCCAGGUGGGAGAAGGCGAGAGGCAACUGGACCCAAGAAAGGGAUUUCCAGUCAGCAACCUGACUGACAAAAGAGGGAAGUAGAAAAUUUUUCUGAUUGCACCAAAAAUUUACAACUUCUGCUUAUCUCUCAUACUCCCCUUUUUGUUCUCUUCAGAAAAUUUACAACCACCUGAUAAUGUGUGUUUCACAUAUUUAUUGGGUUCUUGCCCCACUUGAUACAAACCCACCAGAGCUUGCUGUGUCCUGUUGUUCCCUGGAGCCUAGGCCAGUACCUGGCAAAGUACUGGAGGCUUUGUGAACAUUUACUGAAAUCGGUGAUUGAGAAACACGCGACACAGUAUUUAAAGACAUCGUGAGAGAAACACAAAACCAGAAGCCGCAUGACACAAGGAAGACGGAGCUCUUCAAACUGGCUCUUUUCAUCGUGGAAAAAUAAUAGAUAAGGACGGCCAAAAUAGAGUCACACCACCUUUCCAUUUUGCGAAGAAUAAGAAAAUAAAUGAGCUUGCACUUCCAGGAUGCUUUCCCUUCGUUCUAGAGUGGGGUUGUCUGCGUGAGGUGAGCCUACCAAAAUCUGUGCGGAAAAUGGAAGUGCUUUCUUACUGUUCCUAUGUAAUAACCCUCGGCACAUGCUCACCCAUCGGAUGAGGAAGACACGGGGCUUUGGGACGUUCAGAACACAAGAUCUAGGUCAAUGUUCCAUCGAUAUUUUUCUGUUCUGGAGUCUCUAGGUCAUGUCCAGCACAUGUCUGGGGAAUGUGUUUCACCUGAAAAUUAAAUCCUUUUUUAUACCUGCACAUCCUA